rnacentral:rRNA from 1 species
CCUACGGGAGGCAGCAGUGAGGAAUAUUGGUCAAUGGACGAGAGUCUGAACCAGCCAAGUAGCGUGAAGGAUGCCUGCCCUAUGGGUUGUAAACUUCUUUUAUAUGGGAAUAAAAUGUUCCACGUGUGGGAUUUUGUAUGUACCAUAUGAAUAAGGAUCGGCUAACUCCGUGCCAGCAGCCGCGGUAAUACGGAGGAUCCGAGCGUUAUCCGGAUUUAUUGUGUUUAAAGGGAGCGUAGGUGGAUUGUUAAGUCAGUUGUGAAAGUUUGCGGCUCAACCGUAAAAUUGCAGUUGAAACUGGCAGUCUUGAUAACAGUAGAGGUUGGCGGAAUUCGUGGUGUAGCGGUGAAAUGCUUAGAUAUCACGAAGAACUCCGAUUGCGAAGGCAGCUCACUGGACUGCAACUGACACUGAGGCUCGAAAGUGUGGGUAUCGAACAGGAUUAGAUACCCGUGUAGUC